UACGUAGGGUGCAAGCGUUAAUCGGAAUUACUGGGCGUAAAGCGUGCGCAGGCGGCUUUGCAAGACAGAUGUGAAAUCCCCGGGCUUAACCUGGGAACUGCAUUUGUGACUGCAUGGCUGGAGUGCGGCAGAGGGGGAUGGAAUUCCGCGUGUAGCAGUGAAAUGCGUAGAUAUGUGGAGGAAUACCGAUGGCGAAGGCAGCCUCCUGGGCCAACACUGACGCUCAUGCACGAAAGCGUGGGGAGCAAACAGG
rnacentral:rRNA from 1 species